UACGUAGGGGGCAAGCGUUGUCCGGAUUUAUUGGGCGUAAAGAGCGUGUAGGCGGCCCUGUAAGUCCGUUGUGAAAGUCAAAGGCUCAACCUUUGAAAGCCGAUGGAUACUGCAGGGCUAGAGUCCGGAAGAGGUGAGUGGAAUUCCUGGUGUAGCGGUGGAAUGCGCAGAUAUCAGGAGGAACACCAAUAGCGAAGGCAGCUCGCUGGGACGGUACUGACGCUAAGGCGCGAAAGCGUGGGGAGCGAACAGG
rnacentral:rRNA from 1 species